AUCUUUAGAGACAUUCUGUUGCUGGACCAACUUGCUCCUUAGCCUGCUUCAACGACUGCUAAGCCAAGUGUUAUGGGAUAUGGAGAUCUUCUUCCGGUAUCUUUGAAGUAGGCUAAUGUGCAUGUUGGUCCAGUUGAAUUGGAUGCACUACAAGAAAACCUCAGUAAUGAUAUUUUUGCAGAAAACCCCAAUUGUCACUGCCUCCAGCUUCCUGAAAGGUCGAUCACGAUAUUUCUGGAACUACUCUUUUGUUUUUGAUAGGGUUUUAAGAUCUGCUGUUACCUGUUUGACAACCAGCCCACUCCACUGACAAGGUUUGAUCUAUUUCUUUAGAAGAAACCCUAAAUCUAUAUUUUCUAGUUAUGCUCAAAGUUGGACUAUAUUUGUCUUAUAUUCAAGAGUUAGAGAAGGCCACAAACCUCUUUCUGAGAGAGGAAAUUCCAUCGUGGGAUAUUGAUGUAAGCAUAGCGUCUCCCUUUUUUUUUCUCUCAUGUCACACUAUAUUCUUUAACACACAAGAAAGUAACAUAUCACAGUAGAACCUCUAUAAAUUAAUACUCGAUAAAUUAAUAUUUUCUAAACUAAUAA